GACGAACGCUGGCGGCGUGCCUAAUACAUGCAAGUAGAACGCUGAAGGAGGAGCUUGCUUCUCUGGAUGAGUUGCGAACGGGUGAGUAACGCGUAGGUAACCUGCCUGGUAGCGGGGGAUAACUAUUGGAAACGAUAGCUAAUACCGCAUAACAGUAGAUAUCGCAUGAUAUCUACUUGAAAGGUGCAAUUGCAUCACUACCAGAUGGACCUGCGUUGUAUUAGCUAGUUGGUGAGGUAACGGCUCACCAAGGCGACGAUACAUAGCCGACCUGAGAGGGGGAUCGGCCACACUGGGACUGAGACACGGCCCAGACUCCCACGGGAGGCAGCAGUAGGGAAUCUUCGGCAAUGGACGGAAGUCUGACCGAGCAACGCCGCGUGAGUGAAGAAGGUUUUCGGAUCGUAAAGCUCUGUUGUAAGAGAAGAACGAGUGUGAGAGUGGAAAGUUCACACUGUGACGGUAUCUUACCAGAAAGGGACGGCUAACUACGUG
rnacentral:rRNA from 1 species